rnacentral:tRNA from 1 species
GAGGAUAUAGCUCAAGUAGUAAAGCACAUGCUUAGCAUGCAUGAGGUCCUGGGUUCAAUCCCCAGUACCUCCU